CCCUUAGAUGUUCGGGGCCGCACGCGCGCUACACUGAAGGACUCAGCGUGUCUCUCCCCCUACCCCGAAAGGGAUGGGCAACCCGUUGAACCUCCUUCGUGCUAGGGAUUGGGGUUUGCAAUUAUCCCCCAUGAACGAGGAAUUCCCAGUAAGCGCGAGUCAUAAGCUGGCGUUGAUUACGUCCCUGCCCUUUGUACACACCGCCCGUCGCUACUACCGAUUGGACGGUUUAGCGAGGCCCUCGGAUCGGUACCAGGACUCCGUCAGGAGUGACUGGCAACCGAGAAGGCGGUCGAACUUGACCGUCUAGAGGAAGUAAAAGUCGUAACA
rnacentral:rRNA from 1 species